CACGCACACAUACAAUGCAAAAAAUAAAAUUAGAUGUGUAUAUGUGUGUGUGUGUAUGUGCGUGUGUGAUUAGAAUUGUCACAAAGAAGGGUCUUUUGCACUAUUUCUUGUCUAUACCUCAUGUAAGUAAUGAACCAUUGCAUGCACAGACACAGUUGUGCACAUAAAAGACCAAUGGACCCUGUCUUCCCUCCAGGUGUCCCCACAACCCUGCUGGUGCUGGCUCUCUUCUUCUUUGGUGCUGCAGCUGUGCUGGGUGUUUGCUACGUGAAAAGGUGCCACCUCAUCCACCAGUUCCACUGACUCCACUGGGUUCAGCUUCUUGGCACUGCCCCACUGAGCCUGCAUCCUCCACACUGCUUCCCUGGCACCAACCUAAAUAUCACAGCGCUCCCUCUCAGACAACACCUUUCUCCUGGAGACUGAUGUCACUUCUCCCACCACCACAGAGUCCUCGGGGCACUGCCAGCUCUUCAGUGGUAUCGCUGACACCAGUACUGACACUUGGAUCCUGAAGCCACUUUGAUGUGAAUGUUGUUGACUUCUGGUGCCAUCGCUGCUGUUCAUUCAUGCCUACUGUAAGAGCUUCCCUCUUAAUAUAGCAAUGCAGGAUUGGAUUGGCAAUACAUAAAAUCAAGCUAGAAUGCAUGAGUCCCCCACAAAGGGUUUGAGAAUAAGAUCAGAGGGCUAAGGGCAGACUAUAGUGCCCAUAGUGCCCUACACCAGAGUGUAGAAGCCAGCAAAAGAAAGCAUGGACUGGGCUAUAGAAACACCAGAGUGCAGCAUCCUAGAAGAUGACAGAUUUGAUGGUUUGGGUGUUUUCCCCCUCAAGACAGGGUUUUUCUGGAUGGUCCUGGCUGUCCUGGACUCACUAUGUAGACCAAUAGUCUAUCCUCCAACUCAGAGAUCCUCCUGGCUUUGCUGGGAUUAAAAGACAGCGCCACCACUGUUCAACCAGAGAUUUGAACGUAUCCAUGGAUAACUAGUUUUUCUGUACUCUACCCUGAAAAUUGAAGGCAACUUUCUCCCACUUGCUCUGUAGUUCUUGGAUGCAUCGUGUCCUACCCCUGGAUCUCCAUUUCCUCAUCUGUGAGGAAUGUUGGAGCAGAUGAUUGUUAGUCAGCACUGUCAACCUCGCAGUUUCACCAAUCACAUGCAGGAAGUUGAUUGUGUUUGCCAUCCACAGCCACUCACAGACUUUCACAGAUUCCCCACAGUCCUCACACAGAUGUUCCGUGACCUUACAGACUGACAGGAGGCCUAGGACAUACCUUCCUAGAAAAAUAUACAUUUCAAAAGGCAAAUGCUUCUGAGCAUCACUACGGGACUGUAUUCACUUCGAGAGCAUUCAAUCCUUGUAUUAUUACUGAGUGGAAAUUUCCCUAAACUGUGAAGUUCUGAAUACUGAAAAAAAGUCUUUCUUAUAGGAAGAUGACUUGGAGACUUCUUCUAUAACUCUUAUUCUCUCUAUAUAUAUAUAGAAGAUAUAGAUAUAUAGAUAGAUAGAGAUAGUGAUAGAUGAUAUAUAGAUAUAGAUAUAAUUUCCUAUAAACAUUUCAACAUUUUUAUAUUAUGUAAGAAAACAUUUUCUUGUCCUGCUACAGAAUAACCUAUGACAGAGGAUGGUUAAUCAUUUUAAUUUUUGUGGUUUAGAUUUGGAUAAGAAUGACCCCCAUAGGUUCUUAUAUUGAAUGCUUAGUCACCAGGAAGCGGCACUGUUUGAAAGGAUUAGAAGGAUUAGAAGUGUGGCCUUGUUAGAGGAAAUGUGGUCACUGGUUUGACGUCUGAAACUUUGAGGUUUCCAAUGAACACUCCAGCUAGCCCAGUGUUGCUCUCCUCGGCCCGUGGGUCAGGACGUAGCUGUCAGCUACAUUCUUCAGUGUCAUGCAUGCCCUCGUGCUCCCUGCCAUGAUGACAAUGGACGAAGCCUCAGAACCUGUAAGCCAGACGUCAGUUAAAUGCUCUCUUUCAGAAGAGCUGCCAUGGUCAUGGUGUCUCUUCACAGCAACUAAGACAUAUGUUUAGAGU
rnacentral:lncRNA from 1 species